AACGGAUACAAAUCCCAUAGAUCGGUCUAUAGCACAUUUAUUGUUUCACAGGCCCUCAGAUCCAUCUUUGAUGCCUGUCAAUGAUGGUUUGUCACUAAAGUCACAUGCCAUGGUAAGCUUUUUAUUCUUUGUUCGCAUGCAAUAUGUCACAACCAGCUACUCUUUUUGAUGCCUUAAUGAAAGAAAAUUGGCAGGUUCAUGGGUCUGUAACGAGUCCAUCCAUGAUGGCUAAGGAGCAAGUUUGCCAGGAUGAAACUGCCAGUGUUUCAGAUAAAAGUUUGUUAGUGAGUGGCCAUAAACAAUAAAUACUAACAUGGCUCAAUUAUUGUAGAAUGUCUAUUUUUUGGAUUACUGCACAUCAUGACGUACAGUAACUUUUUCAUGUGGUUCCAGCAUAGAUAACAUUUCAAUUCUAUGUUUGGAUCUCAUCGUUUCUCAGAUGUUUUGUAUAUCCUUGUAAUGGUUUAACCCGAUAACACUCUUUUAACUAUCAUAUUGCUAGGAUUUUUGUUUGUUGCUCUGAUCAUGUCAGAUUGUAAAAACCAUUCAUUGGUGUUCGAGUUUAUGACAAUUAUAUACAUUUUGCCUUAUUUUAAGUUUUGAUUUAUAGAUAAAAACAUACUACUUUCCCUGCCUGUCUUUUGAUUUAACUGCAGAAUCUAGGAUUAGAAUCGACCCCGCCCUUACCCAUCCAUUGGGACCCUACAUUAAGGUUUAGAAGAAAUAGAUGUAUUGCUUUCUUGUCCAUUGUGUCAAAGGUAGACUUCUGCUUUAUUUGUUGUAUGCUUAGUGACCCUAACAGUUGAAUUCGCAAACCAGCAUGUCAUAGGACGAGGUUACAUCUUUGCAUUUGUUAAUGCAGUGUUGUUUCAAUGAGUAUUGGUUAGUGGUCAGAUGAUCAUGCAAGGUUGAGUUUUUCCAGAAUUCAUUUGUAUGUUGCGUUUUCUGUUAAUUUGUGCAUUCUAUUUUUGGUUCUUUGUAUAGUUUAAUUAAAAAACAGAUAAUCUCUGCUGUCCAAUUUUUUUAAUUAUUCUACUAAUAAUUUAAUCAAUAAUUGUUUUGGUUCAUGUUGGUAGCUAUGAAUUAAUUCAGCCGAAAUGAAAUGGAAUAUUGUUAAUGUUACAGGAUCGAGGAAAAAGGAUCUUGUUGAAAGGAGAGAUUAUGCCAUGAAAGAAGCAAGGAGUUCAAAUCCAUUUCAAAGAAACAGCCAGUCUUCUGAUUUCUAUUUUUCCUUUUUUAAGGAAAUUUU
rnacentral:misc_RNA from 1 species